rnacentral:rRNA from 1 species
AGGGUGUAAACGCUGCAGACUUGGUGUUGGAGGCCCUUUGGGGGCAUUCAGUGCCGGAGAGAAGUUGUUAAGUCUGCUACUUGGGGAGUACGUCCGCAAGGAUGAAACUUAAAGGAAUUGGCGGGGGAGCACCGCAACGGGAGGAGUGUGCGGUUUAAUUGGAUUCAACACCGUAAAACUCACCAGGGAAGACUGUUACAUGAAGGCCGAGAUGAAGACUCUGCUAGAUUUUCAGAGAGGAGGUGCAUGGCGUCAGUGACU